CUCUGGCAGUGUGGAAUCCUGGCUGUGUUUAAUUGGCGAGUGGCAGGCGGGCUUGGGAGACAGAGCAGGAGUGUGCGAGAUCUAAGGAAGCAAUUGGGACUCACAUGGAGAGGCAACUGCUCUCACUGGCUUUAUGAGCCGCGACUUUGACUUUCUGAAAGAGAGAGAAAGAGACAGGGAAAGGGAGGCAGAAACUCAACAGAGAGGCGGAGAACCAGUGAGCUAGAGUUUGGGAGGGGGGGUGAACUGACUCAGAGAAUUUUUUUUGAACAGAGAAGGGUUAAGGAUAUGGAAAGAAAGGCAGGGAGUGAUAGAGAGAGGAAAUGACAGAAGGAGCAACAAAGUGCAAACAGAAUGAAGGAUAGGUACAGGAAAGCCUGCAAUGGAGUGAGAGAAUAGGGUGGGGGGGGUGAGAGAGGUGGGAGAGAAAGAGGCCCACUGCUGGAGAGAGGGCAACAGCACUGACUGCAUACGGGAAAUGACAGAAGUUGAGGAGAGAGAGGGAGAGAGGGAAAGAGAAAGAGAGAAAAGAGGGAAAACAAGGGGAAGUUAGAAAAGGAAGGAAGGGGGAGGUGAGUCUUGGAAGGGAGAGAGAGAAAAGUGGUAGAGAAGAAGUUGAAAGAAACAGCACGUGAGGAAUGGGAACAGAAUGGGGAAAAAAGAGAGAAAGACGGUAGAGAAGUGAGAGAAAAAGACCUACGCAGAUGAGAAAAACAGCCUUAGUGAAUGGCCUGGGUGGGGAAAGAGAGAGGAGGUAACUGGUUGUUUUGUAAGUCGUCAGCCUGGGCAGCUUUUAGUCUCCUACUGCUAUGCACUCAGAGAAGGCGGCAAAAGGACAGCAUGCCCUCCAUCCAGCCCAGGACUACUGCCACCUCUGCUUACAACCGGGACCAGCUUUAACACAUCACAGGCAGCAGCUCAGUGAUGUGCAAUGCCCACCACUGGAGCCUGGUCUAAGGUCACACGUGUGGAGGGAGGACUUGUCUCUACCCUUUCCUCUUGAUCUGGAAGCACUUGAGGACAGGACGGGUAACCAUAACCAUCAUGACCUGCAGAGACGGCAGGCUUACUUGGGACCAAGCCAACACUACGCUGUUUCUGAAAGGUGCAGCCCACCAUGCUAUUUGUGGAGGGAGAUGAGAGUUCCUGGAUGGGACCCUCGGUUUCCUCCGUCCACAUGUGUGUGGGAGAGUUCAGCACUGGCACAUCACGGGCAGGAGGUCGCUGAUGGGAGAUUGGCAGGCAGGCUUGGGAGACAUAGUAACUGCUGCUCUGAGAGGGAAUGGUACCAUCAUCAGCUGCCACACCCCCUCAAUGGUGGCCCCAUGCUGGCAAAGGUCAGGAGCCAGCGGUACUACAGGGAAGCUCGGAAUGUUUCAGAGGAGCAUCACUUGGACUGCGUGAGUGAGAACUUUCACCAGAAUACACAUCUACCUGAACUAGAAUGGGACAAUAGGCCUAAAUUUGGAUACAAUGGGCACUGUGAAAGGAGGCAUGUCACUUUUGAGGGUCAUGAUGACGGACACAGCAUAGAGAAUAAUGGACCAGCCAGUGCUAUCAAGAACCACUGUAAUGGAGCUAAGGCAUUCUUUUCCACUGAAGUUCCCCAGAGCAAAUUUACAGUCUCCAAGAAAACAGGACCUAAGCUGAGUGGAAUCCAUUGUGGAGAGACUGACCUGAGUCAAGCAGACAGGUCAGAGGUUGGGGGAAGCCAGAGUAACCACAGGAAGAACCAGGGAACUGUGCGCGAGCAGAUCAAACAAGUGGUGACGGAGUUAGAGGAUGUGCUCACGGGUCUCAAACAGGUUCAAAUGGAGAUGAAAGAGGUGGUCCAACAGAUUGAUGUUCUGACUUCCAACAUCGACCUGGGAGAGGAGGAGCAAGGACCAUUCAAUGGUCUGCCACAGGAAUCCACGCACCAUGCCAACCGUAUUGGAGUUGUUGCACUUGUCCAUAAUGUCAACAGAGAUGCAGAAUCACCAGAAAGAGACAGCACACAUGCUGGUGUCAGACCACAGCGCACUCGUUCCCUGUCGAACCAUAGCUUGACUGCUGUGAUUUCCACUCGCCCUGACAAUCAUCCUGCCCGGGAGAUCCACACGAACCUAGCGUCCCGUGCUAACGGUCUGAUGACUGUUGAGUCUGCAGACAGUAGCCAGAUGAAUCAUACAUCUGCUCUGGAGCUUCAGAAGACGAAGAGCACUGCCAAUGGCGACUGCCUGCGCGCCAGACCUCCCAGAGCCAAAGUCAAAGAGCUCCAGCAUCCAAGAAGCAGAACAGACCAUACAAAAAAUCCUGACCCCCCUUACCCUUUAGCACCAAUUAGCUCAGUUAAAACUAAAAGACCGCCACCGUACCCACAGAAUGGACUGGUCAAAGGACCCCCAAAGGAUUCAAAUGUCCUGAAGACGCCUCCUUACCCUGGAAAACAGAAACAGCUAACCUCCACCAUGGUGUAAAGGUGGGGUGACAGGGGAAGUUCCACUGCCUCAGGGCUCUGAUUGCACUUAUGAGGACAACACACACCCACACACACAGACACACAAAGAACGUAAAUAGGAUGUUUUCUCCCUCAGCAUCCACAUGGUUAGGUAACACAGGGGAUGUCAUAAAGAAGAGACACGUCUAAUAGCAGUGCAAGGACUUCUUACAAGGAUUGAGAGUAUUUCCUAUGGAAAGCAAGCACUAGAAAUGGUCCUUCUCUCUCUCUCUCUCUCUCUCUCUCUCUCUCUCCAACCCUGACUGCCCUACAUCCAUCCGAACAAGCUGCCCAUUUUAGCCAUACUGGUCAUCCAGCCUCUGAUUCUUUGCCCCUUAAAGGUAGCACUACAGAGGAAUAAGCUGCUCCUCAACUGGAAAAAAUAAGUCUAGACUCGCAAAUAUUAUGCAACAUAUUCCCAAAGCUUGCCUGGGAUUCGAAGUCUGUGAGUGGACUGUCCAGAAGACCAAAGAGAAUUGAAAGUCUUUUAUUAUAUCCUUUUGUUAUUGGUUCAAACGUUUAAGAACAAAAAGCUACAGUGUAAGAGGAUUAUAUCCAUCCUGUGUUUCUGCAUCAGUCUGAAAACCGUACACAUUAUAUUGCGAUUAGUUCAUGAGUUAUUUAAAGCCAAUAUAAGGCAUUUAGUUUUGUAUUUAAGCUGUACCAUUGAUAUAUGCUGUCCAGAAGAGGGCGCUACAGGCCAUAAAAGUGUCCCUGAACUUAUAU